AUUGAACGCUGGCGGCAGGCCUAACACAUGCAAGUCGAGCGGCAGCGGGAAAGUAGCUUGCUACUUUUGCCGGCGAGCGGCGGACGGGUGAGUAAUGCCUGGGAAAUUGCCCAGUCGAGGGGGAUAACAGUUGGAAACGACUGCUAAUACCGCAUACGCCCUACGGGGGAAAGCAGGGGACCUUCGGGCCUUGCGCGAUUGGAUAUGCCCAGGUGGGAUUGGCUAGUUGGUGAGGUAAUGGCUCACCAAGGCGACGAUCCCUAGCUGGUCGGAGAGGAUGAUCAGCCACACUGGAACUGGGGCACGGUCAAGACUCCUACGGGAGGCAGCAGUGGGGAAUAUUGCACAAUGGGGGAAACCCUGAUGCAGCCAUGCCGCGUGUGUGAAGAAGGCCUUCGGGUUGUAAAGCACUUUCAGCGAGGAGGAAAGGUUGUUGGCUAAUAUCCAACAGCUGUGACGUUACUCGCAGAAGAAGCACCGGCUAACUCCGUGCCAGCAGCCGCUGUAAAAC
rnacentral:rRNA from 1 species